GCCUGGCUGGCUCAGUUGGUAGAGCGUGUGACUGCUGAUCUCGGGGUUGUGAGUUUGAAUCCCAUGCUGAGCA
rfam:Canis lupus familiaris chromosome 3, whole genome shotgun sequence.